rnacentral:misc_RNA from 1 species
GAGGUUAACCUCAAUGAAAGCAAGGUACUCUCUUUUUUUCCUUUUUGUUCCCUCAUUUUUGUUGUCUUUUUAUGCAAUCGAUUUGUUUGGUGAUCAAAGACGGAGUCUUUUCAUGGUUCUGUCUUAGUUUUUAGGAGACUGCUUAAAAGUUGAAAAUCAGCUGGUUUUAUUUGGGAUUUGGUAUCAAAUAUAGGUGUUUUGAUGGGUUUUGGGUCGGGAUUCUGUUGUCGAACGGGGUUGGUUUGGGGCACUGUUAUGGAUUUUCAUCCUAAAUGUGGGCGUAUACUAAUUAACCCCUUCUGCUUUUCUGAGUUCCUCGUGAGUUUUGGUUUUUGGAUUUUCUGCUUUUGGUUCUGUGAAGGACUUUGUUGAUUGUUUUUUGGGUUUUGGAGUGGUUUACCCUCAGCUUUUGAUUGGAUUUCAAGAUCAUUGAAGAGGGACUUAGUUGACAAUUUUUUAUUGGUUGUCUGAUUUUCUGCUUUGAAAUUUUGUUUUGGUUAUUUGAAGGUUGAAUUAGCUUGAUUUCCCUUGUGGAUUAAUUUGACUUGAAGAAUAUGAUUUGGUUGGGACUAAUUAAAUUACUUGUUGGCGUGUUAUUGUUGACUUGUGCUAGCUUAUCAAACUGCCUAAUUGCUUUCUUUUUUGAGUUCAAAGUAGUUUCGUUGUUCACCUUGUUAUUCAGUUCGCAUAUGAUGCAUGUAGUUGCUGCACAUAUAGGCAGAGAACUUUGUUUAAAGAUGUUUGCGGUUUUGGUACUUGCCAUUAUAUUUCAUGAGAUGAAAAUUGAUAUUUGCUGUUUUGC